rnacentral:rRNA from 1 species
UACAGAGGUCCCAAGCGUUGUUCGGAUUCACUGGGCGUAAAGGGUGCGUAGGUGGCUUGGUAAGUUUGAUGUGAAAUCUCCGGGCUUAACCCGGAAAUGGCAUUGAAUACUACUGUGCUGGAGGUUUGGAGGGGGGACUGGAAUUCUCGGUGUAGCAGUGAAAUGCGUAGAUAUCGGGAGGAACACCAGUGGCGAAGGCGAGUCCCUGGACAACACCUGACACUGAGGCACGAAAGCCGGGGGAGCAAACAGG